rnacentral:rRNA from 1 species
ACGGUUAAUUUUAAUCCAACAUCGAGGUCGCAAUCUUUUUUAUCAAUAUGAGCUUACCAAAAAAAUUACGCUGUUAUCCCUAAGGUAAUUUAAACUAUUAAUCAAUAUAAAUUGGAUCACCUAAUUCAUAAAUUAAUGUAAUUAAUAAUUAAAAAGUUAAUUAAAUUUUAAAAUCACCCCAACCAAAUAAAUGUAAUUAAUAAUAAUAAUAAAAUUCUUUAAAAUUAAAAUUAAACAAAAUAUUAAACUCUAUAGGGUCUUCUCGUCUUACAAAAAAAUUUAAGCUUUUUGACUUAAAUAUAAAAUUCCAAAAAAUAAAAUAAAGACAGUUAUUUUCUCAUCUAACCAUUCAUACAAGUUUUCAAUAAAAAAACUAAUGAUCACGCUACCUUUGUACAGUUAAAAUACUGCAGCCAUUAAAUUAAUCAUUGGGCAGGUUGGACCUUAAAUUAUAACCAAAAGGAC